AGAACUUGUAAGUUAGCCAUAAUGACAUGCCUGCAGUAUUUAAAACAAGUACUACUUAAGAUAAUAAAGAAAGUUAUUUCAUAGACAUAUCCACUAACUAUGUUGCAGGCAAGUCAUUUUUGGCUAUCACACAAUGCUCU
rfam:Cucumis melo, WGS project CAJI01000000 data, contig: 09875